CAUAGCUGAGAGUCAGAGUUCUCACGGCUAUGCAAAUCGAUACUUCCUCUGCCUUCCCUUUCUCUGCAGCUAGGGCAGCCGACUUUAUUUGCUCUUCCAAGGAAUUCCCCUAAUUUAACAGUAUUUUGAGACCUCUCCUGUGAACACUAUCUCCACUCUUCCUGUUUGCAGCCUCGUGUCAGACCUGCUACUGACCAUAUUUGCAGCUGAAACAAGAAGGAAAUGAGCUGGCUCCGUGCUCACUUCAGAGACAGAGGUCCUCGCAGAGGAGCCUCUUCCGAGACAGAAGCAAUGAAAAGCCAGAGCUCUGCUCAGGAGCAUGAGAUUAUUGAAUUACGGGAACAUAACGUGGAGGAAAGUGAGACUGAUCGUGACAAGCCUCUAAAUGCUCGAAAGAGAAAGGAGAGAGAUCCCUGGAAAUCAUGCAGGAAUGUAAUUUUCUGGAAGUGUAAACUAUGGAUGGCUAUAUCUACGAUAUUUCUAGUGAUCUUCCUGGUCAUUCUCAUCAGCCUAAUUCUUUAUUCUAAUGUUUACACAGAUGAAGAUGACUUCUGGGAUCCCGAUGAAUUACUAAGCAAUGGAAAUUUUCACAAUUUUUCAGGAACAUUGGAGUUAUUGUGUGGUCUUCCACACUUCUCCUCCGAGGACAUUACUAAGAGGCUAACAGAGGUCUACAGCUCAUCUCCGGCUUUAGGACAUUACUUUAGGUCAGCUCAAGUGAUUUCUUUCAGUAAUGAAAGCUCCACUGUAAUUUAUCAGCUAGUGUUUUCUGUACCACUAUCAACAGAGGGAUUUAUGGAAAACAGUAUGAACCCAGAUUUUAUAAGGAGCAUUUUACGUCAAAAUAUUUAUGAUGAAGAUACUCUUAAUCCUGGGACAUCUGAAUGUGACAGGUUAAAGCUCGACCCAAUUUCUCUCACAUGUAAGUGCUGUACCUUAGAGAAACUGUUUCUUUACAAAGAGCAGAAGUAUUUAUGGGAAAGGAGGGAAAUAUUUCUAGAAAGAUCUUGAGAUUCAUUAGUAUAUAUGAUUUGCAUAACAGUAUUAAGAAUAUUUUAAAAUAGCUUUCAGAAAGUCUUAAUAUGCUUAACCUAAAACCUGGGACUCACGGUUUUGUUCUCUGAUGAGAAAGGGAAUAGUGAUGAGACUGGUUAGCUGUGGACUCCAACCAAACUUUUCUGAUUUAAUAUUGCAUUUUAUCUGUACAGAAAAAUUCUCCUGGUAUGUAUGUGUACCAUAAUGGGGAGACAAAUAAUUUAAAAUAGUUCUCCUUAUUGUACAUUUGGUUUUAAAUGCUAAAAAAAAAAAUUUAAUCCAAUGUCACAGAUAUGUUUUAUGAAAAAUCCUUUCCUCAGGAUUUUUUCUCCUGAGAAGCUGAGAGGCCUCAGGAACAAAUGUAAACAAUGAUUAUCUGCUGCUGGGGAAUGCAACAGGUGGAUCUGUGAUUGGUCUCAUGCGGUUGUUUCCAAAUAAUGGCCAAUGCCAAUCCAGCUGUCCAGACUGUCUCGGUCAGACACAAGCCUUUGUUAUCAUUCUUUUUCAAUUCUUAGCUAGCCUUCCAAUGAAAUCCUUUCUUCUAUUCUUUUAGUAUAGUCUAAAUAUAAUAUAUAUCAUAAAAUAAUAUAUCAAGCCUUCCGAAACAUGGAGUCAACAUUCUCGUCUCUUCCUUCAUCCUGGGACCCCUGUGAACACCGUCACAAUCCAAGGCAUGAAUAAGAGUCCCGAUUUUUGUCUUUCUGUAGUUUUCUGGGAAAUUUAUUAUGUACAGAAAUACCUUUAAAGGAAACAAAUGUUCAUUCUUCCAGGUUUUCUAGGCAAUCACUACCAGCAACUAGGUAGUGAUUCCAAUUUGUCCUGAUAGAAAUGCCCAUAUAAAAGUCCCAUGAGCUUUGAAGCUAUACUAAAAACAAUGCAUGGAGCUGCCUCCCCCCAAUGCCAAUUUACUGAGCCACACCUCAUGUGCUUUUAGAAUAAUCGUUGGCUAACAAUUCAACAUUGCAGUGUAGGUAAGUAAGGUUUGCAAUUGACUCGUAUUGGUUUUUCUUGGGAUUCUUACCAAGGGACAAGAGAUCAACAGGUCAGGAGUUACAAUUUUUAGAAGAAUUUUAUUCCUUAUAUAUUGACAGGAUUCUUAGAAAAAGUAGUGUAAAAGUGUAGGGGUCUCUAGCUGGUCAGAGUGACCCCGAGAAAAGUUCAAAAGUCUGCCUUCCCAGCCCGGUGCCUGAAGAAGGAGUCAGGGCUCUUCAUUUCUCGGUCUCAAGGUUGCUUAUUGUAUCUUAUCUAUAAAAUUUUUUCUCCUGACCUGCCAAGGUCCACUCAGCAGAACAGUCAGAGGCACUCUGCCUGCUCCCAGGGCGGUGUUAUCUUUAUAUACUAAAAACUACGUGUACAAUAUUUACAAUUACUUUCCAAUACCUAUCACCUAUGUUAGACAGUGAGCUUCUACUCUAAACCAAUCUAAAAGUGCCAACAUCACCAGUGAAGAUGGAGGUAGAGAAGGAGAAGAAGAAAGGCUAGACACACCCAAAUCCCUCCAUCUUGUCCCCAAAAACCCCUAUACUAAAAAUCCCAAAACCUACAUUUAUACCCUGUGAUAACUUUAUUAUUACACUAUUUAAACUGCUGUGGCUUUUAGGUCUUCAUGUAAAGGUGGCAAUUUGCUCCAUGGUUCUUAAUCGAACCCGCUGGUGUUCUGGGCUGUGUGCCAGGGUCUCUGAGCCCCCUGACAGGGGUCCCGGCAACUCCGGACUCCCAAAGGGAUGUCCUGAGUUCCAGCAUAAAAGGAGACAGGAAAGAAUAUGUUGAAAUAACUAUUUAAAGUUUUGUUUUAAUAUUAAUAUAGUACUGUUUACCUUUCAGAGAAAUUAUGGAAAGAGUCCUAAUUUUCAUCACUACCUAGAAGAGAUGCGAUUCCCUGUCUACAAGUAAUCCCAGGGCAGGGAACUGUUCCUUAGCAGCUCUAGUCUUUCAACUGUGUGAGUUGGAAAAUAGUCAUCGGAAUUCUAAAUGCUGUGCUGUAUGAAGCAUGUCUGACAGAGCUACAAGGAAGAAAAGCACAAGAACCAGAAAUAUAAUUUGCAGGUCUUGUUGGCGGGGGAGGAAGCAAGUUUUAGUUGACACAUUGUAAUUGCUGUACGUUGCCAGGAAGAAAAAAAUCUCUCAAAGACUUCAGGAGUCUGCAGCCAUUUCAUCAAACCUCAGAGAACUAAAGAGAACAUCCUGGUGAAACUGAAAGGAAGAAAGUAAUACAAAUCACUGUGCUUUUAAAGCAGUAGCUGCAGAACUAUUUCUGCCUAAUUUAUCCCCAAGAUUUCACUGUCUUUGGAAUGUAACUGAAGCUCAGGCAUGGCGUACUGUUCUCAGAAAUGAGGACAUUGUGCAACUGGAGCUGGAGAGCAUGGCAUCUUACUGGCAAGGAAGGAGAAGGUCAGUAAUCCACCAAAAGUCUAUGCAAAGAUGAACAGAGCAGCCAUUCGUGCUUAAAGAUACAUUCACAAAUUUCAUACUUAAAGAUGCAUUCACAAAUUACAAAUAAGUGGUUGGGUUAAUGGAUCUCACAUUAUGAGUAAAAUGUUGUGUUUAAAGCAACUAAUCAACUGCUGAUAUUGUCUGGUCCCUGGAGAAAGGGCAGUGGUUCGACAGAGAUGCUGCAGCAGUUGGAUGCGCCUGCAAACACUGACUCAUGAAGGCUGUUAGGGAGGUCCCUGCAGGCUCAGGUUCCCUGUAGCACCAGGAGCUGUCAGAGGAAAAGCAGAGCUUGGAAGGAGCAGCCAGCAUAAACAGCUCUUUCUCACCAGGGAUGUGAUAACAAAUUAAAGCAAACAAAUUUUUCCCACUGGCAGAGCCACCUCUGUCCUUUGCUAAGACUUAAAGUUUGCUCUUCAGUGAAAAGUGUUUCCUCUAGCAGCACACAGUUUUGGUUCUGGAAGAUCAGAGUGUUUCUAAGAGAAAAUAAGUCAAUUAAAGCUGACAAGAAUAUUUCCUACAUACCAGCUGGGCUUGCAAUUCUUUUUAAAAUGAAGUGCAGUUCCUUUUGUGAUUGCUAAUUAGUGAUCUCACAUUUUGAUCAGGCCAGAAUGCCCUUCCAGAAAUUUUGCAGGAAAGUGCAACUAUGCAAGUAACUCAAGGAAAGGAAAAUAAGAUAUCUCAAAGGAAAAAGACAAUAGUAUGAAGCAAAUUCAUUUUUCAGACUUACGGGAAUGAAUUCUUGAACCUAUGCAAAAGCAUAUCCAAAAUGUGUCUUUAGAGGAAUACUGAUGCUUGAGCUGUUUCUAUUUUCAGAUUAGUUGCCACUAAGGAGAAAAGUAAUCAUAAAUGUGAAAGCAUGUUUGAGAAUUUUUUUGUGUCACUUUAUGGUUUGGGCCUGCUUGCUUGCAACUGAUUUGCAUAAUUUGAAGCUAAUCUGUGUGGCCAUUCAACUGAGGGAAAACAUUUUAUUUGCGAUCAUAGUUAUUUGUAGUAGUAAGAAUUUGCAAAAAAUGUAAGCCACUUCGUCAGAAAUCAGAAACGUGAAACAUAAUUUAUCAGUAGAAGUUUGAUUAGCAAAUGAGGUCUCAUAGCAUGGCUGCCCCCUGUGCCACAGGAGAGCCACCCAUGGGCUAAGGGCUUGGCUUGUUUCAGCAGUGAUCGCAACCCACACCAGAAAGGGGAAGACAGGCAUAACAGUGACAAAGGAAAAAGGCACAAAAACAAUGACUCAGACAAGUUGUGGACCUAUUUUUAUGGUCAUCUCAGGUGAUGGUGGAAGUGUGUGCUUGUGGAAGGCAACCCUGUCUUUCCAAGGGACUGGGCUGGGGAAGGAUCAUGGACCCUGUGGAGAUGGAGGCAACCUCAAUGGAGGAGAGGUGAGACCAAGGCUCUGCUCUUUCCCUGAGACAACAUGACUUAGGCCCUGAGUCCACCUCUUGGCUUACUUUGGUCUCCUUAACCUAGAGAAAGUUGUGUUACAGAAGCAUCAGCACCUCCAGGGUCUUUCAUCACCUCAUCACUGAAUUACAUGAUAGGUGCAGAUUCCUAACUCUGAGUUACAUAUGUGCUCUGUGUUACGUUUGUGCUAUUCGUUGCAGCAUGGCCUUUCCUGGAGCUCAGGUCAAGGCCAAGGUGGCCUUUCCUCUUGCAAUCCACAGACACAGGGUGCUGAGCCAGUUUCAGAAUCUGUGCUUGUAUUUAGGGGCUUAUGAAAACCCAACCUUAUGGACAAAGUGCUUCUGAAAAACCCAGUACCCAUGUCUUCUUAGCAGCACAGCUGGGAAAACCUGAGUUUCUGGCUCUGACAUUUGUUGUCAUAUCCCCUAAAAUUCAGUUGUGUCAUAGAGGCAGGAGGUUUUCACAAGGUGCCAUUUACUGUAGUUGCAUGGUGGGGAAUGUCCCCAGAGUAAGAGCGAAGCGUUUAAGAAAGGGGAAGUGGCACUUAGUGGAUUGCUCACUCGUCUCUCUGAGGGUACAGCUAAGAUGAUGAUGGUCACUUGCCUGCUCUUCUCCAGUGUCUGGACCACUGUUCCAGGUAACUCCCUUAUCUGUCUGGGUGUCUGUGUUGCUAACAGUGUUAGGGACCUUAGUGGCUGUGCCAGCCUUCUUCUGUGCUGCUGGGUGCUGCAGUCCCCACUUUGCACCCUUCUGGGGCAAACCCAGUGAUUACAUGGCACUUGUGGCACUGUACUACUUACCUUGGGCUCAGGCAUGUCACUGCUGGUUGCAUUGACAGCAUCCAGUUCUUAAUUUAGCACCAGUGCACCAUAAAUUCAAGACAUAUAAAGGUAUUGCAAUGGGCAAAUUAUAAAGCAGGCAAACCAUGCUUGUAGGUAUCUGCUCAGGCCAUCAAAGGCAUGGAUGUAUUACAGUAGUUUUGUAUUUAAAAAUCAUGUAGAAAAGGCUGAAUUAGUUUCAAACUAGCUUCCAUGAUCAUGGUUUGUAGUCUGCCUAUGGCACUGCUGAGAUCUAAAAAGCAAAGUGACUGGCUUCUUGGUCUUUGAUGGAAAUCUGCCUGGCCAUGGUCACAGCCAGCAUAACUUCAAUGCUGAGAUAUGAGGACAGAUGUAGUUUGCCUCAGGUUUCCUGAGAACCCUUGCUUUUUUCUUCUAGUUUCCUGAUCCUUGCCAGUUUCUGACAAGUGUGAAUACAUGAUGUAUGUAUAGUGAGACACAUAAUAAUUUUUAGUAUUUUUAUUGAUUUGCUACACCCCAUGCCACAGGAGGGCUAAGAGGGUGGUAUUGGGCCAGCAGCUGUUUGUUUGUCAUCAUGGCUGAAGGUUUAGGGAAUCUCUCUGUGAGUGCCCAUGGGAUAGCAGUCCUAGCGGACAAAUCAGUGGCUCCCAACACCAGAACUGCCUUUCUCAGUGGCGCUCUCUGCAGCACAGGUAUCAGGCUGGCAAAAUGCUUGGUGUGAGAGGUGGCAGGUCCAGGGAAACUCUCUGGGUGGUUCUUUCAAGUUCAUUUUCAACUUUUCCCUAGAUGGAGGCAUAGAGAAGUCCUCCAGAGUUGCUCUGCUUGGAAGUGAGGGUGAGGGGCUGCGGGGGUCUUUGCUGGAAUUGGGCUGCAGAAGAGUGUGAGAAAUGCUGAGUAUGGCACCUGCUUCUCCCCCAGCCUCUGUGCAGCUGACAAACAGAAAGGUCCAGUCAGUCCAGGUGGGAGGAAAUGUUACUUUUUCAUGACGGUCACUCACAAAAGAAGAUGUGAUACAGGUGACAUAGCAGAAAAAAACGGAUGGGGCUGAAGACAACAUAGCAACUUACAGUAUGAUGAAUGGCCAAAAAAUAGCCAAGGCCUAUGUAAGCCAUGUGAGAAUACUGUACAGCUUGUGGGAUUUGACCCAUGAAUAUCUUGAGCAGGUGAGCAGGUCAGCAUCAACUAGCUUAAAGAUGAGAGUUGAAAUUAAUCAUGAGUCAAGAUGGCAAUAUUUGUCACCUCUAUAUGAAAUCAUCAACUUGCAAGUGCAACCUGAAAUAAAGACUAAUAGAUGAACUAAAAAGAACUAAGAGUAACAAGCUGCUUAUCUUUUGAGGAAAGCUGCUGGGUUUUGUCCAGCUGAGAGAGCUGAGACAUUAAACAUGCUCUGAGGACACCCUGUUGGCUCCUAGCUUUCUCAGGGAUGAGACUACUGUGGGAUCAUAUCCCAUGUGGAGAGUAUCAGUGUCUGUGCCCUGUCACUGGUGAUAUGACCCCUGCAGAUUAUUUUGUUUAUCCCUAGUACCUUCUGCUGACAAAGACAUGAACACAUAUGUCCACAUACAUGUCUCUGGAGUCCUCUGUGUGGAGAAAGGAAGCUCCUAACUUAGAGGGGAAAGGAGGUGGUGGUAGAAAAUACAAGGGAAAACCCAGUCUGGAACAAAAUUUCUUUUUCCUCUCUUUUGGGAAAACUAGGGCAGAAAAGAGAAAUGAGGAGAAAUUAAUGCAGUAUUUAUAUAUGAAGAGGAAAGUUCCUAAAGAAAGCCAGUUCUGAGUCAUUCAUACGGUAAACACUGAUUAUACAUUACAGGAAAAACAUGCAAGUGCCUUGCAGAGGUAUGUUGUAAAUGAUCAAAUCAGCAGCCAAAUUUAUAAAAAAUUUUAUAAAUUUAUUAGAUCAACAACCAAAAAUAGAAUACUAUAAAACUGCCACAGCCAAGACAGCGUCAACCCCAGACUUUGAUGCUGGGUGAACUUGGGUCAGACCGACGUAGUGUCAGCGUCUCCCCAGAGUGUCACACCAACUGCUCCAGGUAGCCAGCUUAUAUACAGUCUAUUCUGCCUGAAGCAGAAAUGACCUAAGAUUUCUGUAAGUCCCUAACAUAUGUAUAACAGGAACUAUACAGAUUCAAUCCCAUACAAAAGUCAGUCCAUAGGUUUGGAUGGCUGUCUGGGCUCCUCGAAAUGGUCUUCCUUUCAGCUGUAUCCAGGACGUGGCCCACUUUUCGAUGUAAUCUCUCCCAGGUGUUGUUCUGUGAAUGUUCUGGACAUUCCUGGGAAAUGGUCGCUGAUCACCCAGGAAAGACUCAUUCACUCGUUAAUGGUCAUGAUUUUAUCUGGGCGAGUUUGGGAAAUCUUUUGGAAAUGAAAAGCUCUGCUUCUGGCCAUGGGGGUCAGAGGCAUAGUUGGAUCUCUAUAAUUUUUAUACAAUUUCCAAAGCAUGAAUUAUCUACAUCAUAUACUACACAGGGUAUAAUUUCUCCUAACUGAUGGAAAAAGGGCAAGAGGGAAUGAUACCUUCCUGCUUGCCUCUCACUUAGAUAAAGCUGGUUCUGUCUUAUGUGUCUCUCUUUAUAAAGCAAAUGUAGCCUGCAUCUCUCAGCUUUGGGAUCCUUUGACCCUGACAUUAGCCAGUUUGGGUUAAGAUUUUAACUCAUAUAAGCGUCCUUUUAAACAGCUGAGAUAGAUAAAAUAAAGGUUCUUCAGGCUGCAUAAAAUGUCCAUGUUUUGGCAUGCCAGGCUAUUUCAGAGACAUAUUGUGUUGGUAUUUUUCUCUGCCUAGAUACUGGGUUCCUGAUUCUAAGAGAGCAGUAAGAUGGAAGCAAAUUUGCUCCAACAGCUCUGGCUGAAGAUGUGACUUUGAAAAGUAGCUGAAAUGUUUGUCUUCGAUAUUUUACAGGCACAGGCUGAAAUAGGAAGAAUAUUCUUCUUCUGAAACCAGUGCUGACAGAGGCAUGAGACUAAGUUUGUUCAGUGAAAAGUAACUUUGUUUUGAUUAUAGACCUUUGAAAGCAUCACUCAUCAAUUCUCUGUUGUAAAUUUUCUUAUUAUAUCAGACAUGGAAGAAAAUAUAACCCAUUGUUUUUCAUUCAGUUUUCAGCACUGAGCCCCUGGAAACCAGAUGAAACAAGAGAAUUGUACUAAUUGAUUGCAUUUUUCUCUUUUAUAAAUGAGACUAUCAAGCCAGGCAGAUACAAAUCAAGUGUAUUUUUGUUUUCACUCUCAGUAUACCAGAAAUUGCUCAUGUUUUUGGAAGCCAUACAAAGGGUCUUCUCAUAGCUCUGCUGCUUUCAUUUUCAGACAUAUAAAGCUAUGUGUGAAAGGAGCACUGGAUACUAGUCCAACUCUUUGUGGAUGGACUCUGUUGUAGUCUGCUGAACUUUGAGAAAAGCUACCUGAAAUUUCUGGGAAGCCUGAGAGGAUCCUCAGUCUAGGACCCCAAUAAAAUACAGAGUUUUAAAUUCUCUAACCUGUCAGAAGCUGUGGUCCUUACCCUAAGGAAAAGGCAGUUAUGUCUAGUAAAAGAGCACUUGAAAGUGUACAUGAGAGGUGUUCUAAAUGAUCAGAUCGGCAGCCAAAUUUAUAAAAAAAUUUUAUAAAGAUUUAUUAGAUAGACAACAAAAAUAGAAUUUCGAAAAA